UAAAGAUGUAUGCAUGCUUUCAAUCCAAUUUAGUUCACAUAAUCAAUCUUUUCCCAACAGAUGUUUUGUUCAUGAAUGAUCAAUCAACUAAACAUAGAUGUAAACAUGGAUUUAACAACUCUUACCAAGCAAGUGUUUCACUCAAUCUCUCAAGUGUUUAGGAGGUCACUCUACUCUCUACUGUUCAUAUGUCACAUAAAACUAUAUUGUCAUUCUUCUAAAACAAUCAAAAUCUUCACAUGCAAAUGUCAUUACAGGGACUUUUUCCAAGGCUUGUAUUGUGGCUGGGCUAUCAAGAAAAUUAGUUUUUCUGGAAUACAAAAUCCUUGAGUUAAGAGAGUUUAAAUCAUCAUUUAAAGUUCAAGCACACUCUCUUUUUAACCAAUCUUACUCAUUCCCAACUUCUUCCCUUUUACAUUUUACAUUAAGUUCACUUUACAUGCUUUUUCUCUUUUCAUCUUUUCUUUUCUCUUCACAUGCAUUUUUCUUUCUCAUCUUUUGAACUCAAUGCUUUUGCUUUUUCUUUUGCCUUUCACUUUCCCCAUUCAACCCCAAACUUGAACCUUUUCAACACAUAUAAUUAUUCUCAAC
rnacentral:lncRNA from 1 species